rnacentral:lncRNA from 1 species
UUAGACUCUUGCCAGAUACAAUUGCUCUUCGAUGCUAGACAACAUAUGCUGGGUUGAAGAUGAGGAUGGCGAUGUAAUAAUUUCACCUGUUCUUUUCCAUUUUGAAUGGCAGAUGUGUCUUCUACAGAUCCCACAUGCUCCUUUGCCAUGGCAGCUGAUGUCACCUGUCAUGUAUCCGAAGUGCCGCGUGGAGGAAAGGACAAGAAAACCACCAGCCCUAUUAAAUGCUGCUUGGUUUAUCCCAGCACAAGCCAGAGCAGGAGGAACACACUGGCUUCCAGUAAACUGCAACAAAGUUCUGCUAAGUCAUGCCUCUCCCCUCCUACAGCAAGCCCAGUAGAGUGUGAGAGCAUUUCCCCGGCAGAAGCCUGGCCCCUGCCUCCCCUGCUGCAGUAACUUAGAACGCCUAGGUAAGUUUCAAAAUCAAGAAGACGCAGCUGUGUUUCAGAGACUCAGGCUCUCCCAGUCCCCUUGAACUCAUCCAGUUGUUAUGGAGAGAUUCUUACAAAAGUCACUGCAAUCCUCUUUCAAAGGAUAAAAGGAUCACAUCUCAGACAGGCCUUCCUCUGUGAAUUCAUGUGG